CACAGACAUGUAAAGUUCCCAGUUUAUAGCCCAUCAUUGGUUGUACAAUGCAAAUACUGCAUCUGCCUCUGAGUUUUUAGGUUCAAAGACCAAGGCAGAGAGAUGCUUUUAAAGUUUGAAUAGAUGACUCUUUUCAGAUGUUGAUACAGGCAUAACAUUUUGCCCACUGGUUCUAAAAUAUUUCUGUAAUUUUUAAAAUUAUUGCCAUAGCAGGAUAUAUCUGCUCCAGGAUUUGAUGACCACGUGGAAAGUUCCCAGAACGGAGACUGAUUUACAGUUCAGCAAGUUCCCGGGUCACUUGUCUUGUGCAUGUGGUUGGCAGGAUAUUUGGGAAGGGCCAAUGGUUCCUAGCCAGGAAGGGUACCUCUGUUGAAUUUGUUGUGGGCUUCCAAAGCUUAGGUAUGAUAUCUUUUUCCAACCCAACAAAGCUCUACGCCACCAUUAUCAAAUCUGUCACUCCUUUGCCAUCUCAUGUUACCUGGGUUUUGAGGAAGGAUUGGCAUACUCUGAAAUUCUGGAAAGCUCUUGGGUAACGGUCUGAAAAAUGACAGGCUCCCACAUGUCCCUACUGUAUUUGAGGAAGUGCAUUGCCCGAGAUUAAUGGCCUCUCCGCUGUGCACAAUGCCUUUUAAGAUUUUUUUUUUUUUUUCCCACUGUAAGCCAAACCAAAGAAUGUUUCCAGUUUCUCAGGCUCUAUUUACCUUCUCUCUCAUUAGUGGAGGCUCUCUCCCUUGUGUUCUGAUGAUUGUGCACAUACUUAAACCCUUCUGACUGUUUUCAGCUGCUACUGCUGUGUUCCAGAAAUCUGACACAGGGGAACGCAUCACCUCGGCGUGCAGCAGGCGCUUCCCGGGGACCUCUGCCCAUUGCCUUCACAGCCCCAUGAGAGAACCAGUGUCGUUGAGCCCCAGUAAAGACACUCAGCAUCUGAUCUCAUCAUCUCAGGUAGGCUCUACUGGCACGUUGCCCUGCUCAGAGUGAGGGAUGAAGGCACCAUGAGGCCGCGGAUGUGGUGUGGUACCAGAUCUGUGCACCGGCAGCGGGUGCCACUGACAGGGUGAGGAGUGGAAUGGAGAGAUGGUGCUGCUGUAGACACCCCUUCUCCCCAUUAAUCCGUGUCUCUCUGUGACUCUUUUCCAGUGCUCCAUGGGUGCAAUUCCUUUCCUUGCAUGAGAGGUCCCCAGUUCAGCCAGAUAGUUAAAUAUGUGCUGAUGUACUACAGAUCUGCAGUGAAUCACAGGAUGUUUGAAAAGCAGCUGAGUAAAAUAAAUAUGUAAGAAUGCAGUUAUAUCGGAAAAAUGAUUCUUACUUAUUUCUUUUCUUGGAUUUUGUAGGGAGAUACGGCUGAAGACACCACUGGUUUGUAAAAAUCACAGUAAAACAUGAUAAGUUUUCUGUCCUUCCUGCUUAUUUUUCUCUGUUUCAGCUUUCAAUUUAUUUCAUAAGUCCCUGUAGUUAUGUAUGGCUUAUUUAUUUGCAUUGUGCAGCUCUCUAGGGUCAAAUUCUAAUCUUAAAAGAGUGCAGUUAAAAGAUCUACUGUCACAGUCAGUGAAUACAGGACUUCAUCCAUAGCAUAUACAUUUCUCACUGCUAAUUAUUGUCAGAAGUACUUCAACCGUUGCCAUUAUCCAGAUUUUCAGUUCUGUUUUUCUCUACAAAUCCAGUGACUGAUUGAGAAAUCACAUGCAGUAAUGACCAGCAUUUUGUUCACUUGUAGGACACUGAGUUUCCUGCAAUAGUGUUUUAACAUUUAAAAUUUUCUUUAGCCUUAUCUAUAAAAGUGCCUUUCACGUUAUUGCUGCUCAGUGACUCCAAAUGCAGAUGAGCUGUGUGCAGUAAAACAUCAGCUGGGCAGGUACACCUUGGUUUUUGUAGUCUUGGUGCUCAGCUUCCCAACGACUUCUGAAAGCACAAGAUGGGCAACAACAAGGUACACGGUUUGUAAACUAUUUGCUUAAGAUCCUUUCCACCCUUGCCAGCAUUUAGAUCUCCUGUGCUUUAUUGCAUCUAGUCACAGCUUUACCUCUAUUCUUCAACACCAACUCUUUGUUGUGCUAUAGCAGUGUGACACAGUUUUAAACUACAAAAUCAUAGAAUCAUUUCAGUUGGAAGAGACUCUCAGGAUCACCAAGUCCAACCAUAACCUAACUCUAGCACUAAGCCAGGUCCCUAAGAACCUUGUAUAAACAACUUUUAAACAUCAGGGAUGGAGACUCCACCACUUCCCUGAGCAGCCUGCUCCAAUGCCUGACAAUUCCUGCCUUUCUGUGAAGAAUUUUUUCCUGAUAUCCAAUUUAAAACUCUCCUGACGCAACACGAAGCCAUUUCCUCUUGUCCCAUCACUUGUUACUUGGGAGAAGAGACCAACACCCUCCAUGCUACAACCUCCUUUCAGGUAGUUGUAGACAGCGAUAAGGUCUCCCCUCAGCCUUCUUUUCUCAAGCCUAAACAGCCAAAUGAAUGCUGCAUUUCCAUGGAGAAUGUGUGUUUCAUAUAGAUGUUAUUUCCAAGUAGUAUUAUAUCGUACUCAGGACACGAUACAUCAUACUUGUUUUUUUUUUUUUUU